rnacentral:rRNA from 1 species
UACGUAGGGGGCAAGCGUUGUCCGGAAUCAUUGGGCGUAAAGAGCUCGUAGGCGGUCUGUCGCGUCGGCUGUGAAAACUCGGGGCUCAACCCCGAGCCUGCAGUCGAUACGGGCAGACUAGAGUGCGGUAGGGGAGACUGGAAUUCCUGGUGUAGCGGUGAAAUGCGCAGAUAUCAGGAGGAACACCGGUGGCGAAGGCGGCUCACUGGACUGGUAUUGACGCUGAGGUGCGAAAGCGUGGGGAGCAAACAGG